UUGGUGCUGAUUAGAGCGAGGGUCCACCCGUUCCCAUUCCGAACACGGUAGUUAAGCUCGUUUCUGCUCACAAUACUUGGCUGGUAACGGCCCGGGAAGACAGGUAGCGCCAACACAA
rnacentral:rRNA from 1 species